rnacentral:lncRNA from 1 species
CUCCUCCUCUUCCUAAUUCUCCUCCUCUCCCUCCCCCUUGUCCUCUUCGUCUUCCUUUUCUUCCUCCUCUUCUGUCCCAGGGCUUUCAAACUCUGGCUCUCUAACGACACGGAAGACUUAAAAGGAGGAACGCCGGCUCAGCCAAGCCCCGGAGACUCCUACUUGAUAUGAGCAGUUUAAAACCACUUUCCCGUUAAAUUUUUCUGUGACAACUCUUUUCAUGGAGAACGAAAAGACUCUUGUUAAGGGUUGCCGUUCAGAAGUGUUGGCGUUGAUUGCUAACAUAAGAUCCAACAAGAAAUGGUGAAAAUGCACAAUGCCUCAGGACGCCUUGAGGAAGGGGCAGCGUGUUGCUGCCGAGGGUGAGCACACGUGGUUUCCGAGGAGGGGCGACAGAUCUCCCUGGGCGUCAGUCAUCCUGGGACUGGGUGCUAUGGAAGAAGGUGACGCCAGGCAGACACCAAGAGCAGGGGAGCUGCAGGCUCGUAUCAGAGCCCGUAUCAGAGCAGGGUGGCCCCUGAGUGGGGAGGGAGCCGGAGCUCACUGCUGGAGGAGGGCCCGGCACCUGCACGUGAGGACAUGAGUCUGAGGCCUGCAGAGAAGCCGGGUGAGACACUGCUGUGCUUCCCUGGGCCACAGCCCCUCACAGCUGCAUCCAGUCACCAGAGCUCCUCUGUGCCUCACCCACCCUUGAUCAUAGAAGACAGCCUGCAUGUCCUCAGCUCUGUCCUCCAACCGGCUGCCCGGGAGGCCUCCCUGGCUGCUCCCCAAACUGCACAUGCCCUGAGUCAGCCCUGGGGCCUCAGGGACUCCCCCGUUCAUGCAUCCUGGCAGCGCGCAAACCAUCCCUGUCGGCUCCCACUGACAUGCUACAGGAUCUCAGGGCGGCUCCACCACGCAGGUUCAGAAGGGAUGGGAUUCUGUGUGCUUUUCCUUCUUGCUUCAGACCUUCACCUGGGGCUCUAACAUCAAAAGUCUGUGCCAGACAGAGGCAUCCACAGCGACAGGAGCCUGGGCAAGGGCGGCCAUCCCUGCUGCAGAGACGAAUGUCAGUGUCCAUGGAAUCAAUUCGGUGUGGUGAGCGGCAGGUCUGAUAUGAAAGCUACUCACGCUUCCCGUCUGGGCAAGAGCAGGAACUCAGCAGGCAGAGAGCUGGUGGAGCCUUCCAUGGGAAAACCAGAACCUUCAAAGAGCCCGGCCUCCCUCUGAUCAGCCCCUUCUUUCCGAUCAGAUGCAUUAUUGACGAGGCAGCUCCUUCGCCUGCCUCUCGUCAGAGCCGCUCGUUUCCCACCGUGGUAAUUUAUACUUGUGAUUUUAGCCUUGAUCAAUAAGGCAAAGGAGAAGA